UACGUAGGGGGGCUAGCGUUGUCCGGAAUCAUUGGGCGUAAAGAGCGCGUAGGCGGCCAGAUAAGUCCGGUGUGAAAGUCAAAGGCUCAACCUUUGAAUGCCGCUGGAAACUGUCUGGCUAGAGUCCGGGAGGGGCGAGUGGAAUUCCUGGUGUAGCGGUGAAAUGCGCAGAUAUCAGGAGGAACACCGGUGGCGAAGGCGGGUCUCUGGGCCGAUACUGACGCUGAGGAGCGAAAGCGUGGGGGAGCGAACAGGA
rnacentral:rRNA from 1 species